CUCUAUGGUCGUACUGUAUAUUUACGACUUUGGUAAAAAGCCUGCCUCUUGUGAAAUUAUCCCAAUUUAUAAGCUAGGUAUUCGAAAUUCCCAUAGAUAUGUGAAAUUCCUAGCUUACACCAACUCUCGUCCACCAUUCUCGUGUCUCUUCAAUUCCACACGUCAUUUGCGAAGUUAAUUCACAUCCGUCUGUAAGCGGCUCCGCGCCUAACAAAAUUGAAUUGAAUAGUAAUGCCCAAAGCAAGGUUGGUAUCGUACCAAGUGGAGGCUCUAUCCUCCUGGAAGUGCGAGGGUGUAUGAUGGUAGGUGCCUAGGGCAGCCAGGGAGUUGAAGAAUUUUGGGUAAAUGUGGUGGCAAGUCUUAAUAGCCUUGGAGAUGGGGUCACCAAGUUGCCAAAAUCUUGGAAAACGUAUGGAGCGUACAAAAACACAAAGUGUGAAAGCGUGACUCUGUGUUACAACAGCAUGCCCGUGGGAUGAUCGGAAGACCAGCCAAGAGAGCUCUGUCUGUAACAGAGGUCCGUAUUUUACAGAUACUUGGAGAGGUGUCAUAUGCAGGAAAUCCACAGGAGCAGAUACCUCUAAUAUCAAAGGCGUCCUUAUGAAUACCCACCUGUGUGGGCGUAGAGAUAUGAGGAACAGCGCCUCGAAAUUGACUGACAAUUGGCGCACCAACCAGGAUACUUAGUGGACAUCGCUGGACAGGGGCUGCAAACUGACAGCGAGCGGGCACGCCAACUAGGACGCUUAUUGGUACUACCAAUAAACAGUGCUAUUAUGGGCAGGUGGCGAUCUUGAGACGACGACGUCUCUUGACUCUUCACUCCACAGCGGCUGCAGGAGACAAAAAACUAGACUAAAGCCCGAUUUCGUGCGUUCAGCGAUAUCAAGGCAUAUUUAUAUCGUCCUGGCGCAUGCGCGGUUUCGUUGUCAGGCGGACCGGAUUGGAUUAGAUUUUAAGAUUUGCUUUUUUGUAUCUAGUUAAUUUUGUAAAGUACUGAGUUUUUAAUAAAUUCCGUUCAUUAUUUGAUAUCCACAA